AUUGAACGCUGGCGGCAUGCCUUACACAUGCAAGUCGAACGGUAACAGGUCUUCGGAUGCUGACGAGUGGCGAACGGGUGAGUAAUACAUCGGAACGUGCCCGAGAGUGGGGAUAACGAGGCGAAAGCUUUGCUAAUACCGCAUACGAUCUCAGGAUGAAAGCAGGGGACCGCAAGGCCUUGCGCCCACGGAGCGGCCGAUGGCAGAUUAGGUAGUUGGUGGGAUAAAAGCUUACCAAGCCGACGAUCCGUAGCUGGUCUGAGAGGACGACCAGCCACACUGGGACUGAGGCACGGCCCAGACUCCUACGGGAGGCAGAAGGGGGGAAUUUUGGACAAUGGGCGCAAGCCUGAUCCAGCCAUGCCGCGUGCAGGAUGAAGGCCUUCGGGUUGUAAACUGCUUUUGUACGGAACGAAAAGACUCUGGUUAAUACCUGGGGUCCAUGACGGUACCGUAAGAAUAAGCACCGGCUAACUUCGUGCCAGCCGCCGCCGUAAUAC
rnacentral:rRNA from 1 species